GGAUGGUUGGCUGAGCGGUCUAAAGCGGUGGACUUGAAAUCCACUGUGCCCGUAAGGGCACCGCAGGUUCGAAUCCUGCACCAUCCG
rnacentral:tRNA from 1 species